rnacentral:tRNA from 1 species
AGCCUUAUAUUCAAAAUAAAUGAUAUAAAAUUGCAAAUUUUAAAGUGUAUAAAAUACUAAGGCUU